UAAUAUCCAUAGAGCAUGCUUAAAUUUAAACCUCUCUCUCAUUUGAAGCCUUGGCAACAACAUCCACCAAAGUACAUAGUCUGCUGUUACUAUUGGUAAACAGGUGCUCCUCUUCUUAUCUGAUGAAGUUGGGAGGUAAUGAGUGGAACCAUUGAGAAAGAAGUUUGAUAGAAAAGAGAUCAAAGCAAGUAAUCAGCUAAAUAUUUUAUUUAGGAGAUCAAGGAUGGUACACAGUUGUCUUAUGAGGAAGCAUGUGUGCGGAGUUUUUGAUAUGGAAGAGGUAAAAAUAGAAUAUGGAGCCAUGUAGAAAUCAGUAUAUAAUAUAUCAUGCUACAUUCAACAAAAUUAUAUAUAUAGCAUUUUAUAAGGUUCUGCCUGUUUAUUAUAUACGACUGUCAUAGCAUCCCAUAAUAUGAUAUUAGAAUAAGACCUACUACAUUGCACCCUAACAAAAAAUAGCUUUUGUUAGACUCACAUCACCAACUAUUAUGGGAUGUUAGAUUCACUUCUUAUGCGUUUUAUCCAACUAUUUUGUCUCCACAAGUCCUUUCA
rnacentral:lncRNA from 1 species